AGGGGCCUACGGGAGGCAGCAGUCGGGAAUAUUGCGCAAUGGGCGCAAGCCUGACCCAGCAACGCCGCGUGAAGGAAGAAGGCUUUCGGGUUGUAAACUUCUUUUGACAGGGAAGAGUAGAAGACGGUACCUGUCGAAUAAGCCACGGCUAACUACGUGCCAGCAGCCGCGGUAAUACGUAGGUGGCAAGUGUUGUCCGGAUUUACUGGGUGUAAAGGGCGUGUAGCCGGGUUGACAAGUCAGAUGUGAAAUCCUGCGGCUUAACCGCAGAACUGCAUUUGAAACUGUUGAUCUUGAGUACUAGA
rnacentral:rRNA from 1 species